AUGGCCUUCUGGAUGGUACAGAGCUGGCAGCCCUCACCUUCCCUUCCCAGCCUGGCCCAUCUACCACACAGAGUCAGAUGUCCACUACAGGUGUCCAGGGCCCUCAACACAUCGCCACUAUCCAGGCCCUGCCCUCAGAGGUCCCAGGCAGCUGGGGCUGUGAGCGGUGGCCUCUUGCUCCACAAAGGAGACCACACUCCCUCAGGCCCCUGGGGCCGCAGGGAGCACAGGAUGCAUCCGGGCGCCCAGUGCAGUGGACAUUCCGUGCUGCUCUCCCCCCAACCCCCGCAGCCUCGUAGGCGAGACUGGGAACAUUGUCCCAAACUGCUGAGGCCAGGAUGGCCCUUUAUUUUAUCGUUCUGAUCUGAAGCCAGGACAACCACCCCAGACCCACUCAGCACAGGCACUGUGGCAGCUCUUCUGCUCUGGACCCCAGUGGCUCUCGCAGGGGAGGAGGGUCUGCCCAGCCCUGCUGUUAUUCAUUAACUGGCUGAGAGCCGUUCAGGAAGCCGCAGGGUGCCACAGCCACCUUGACCUGGGAUCCAGAGCAGGGAAGCCAGACUGCUCCCCAGCUGUGCUCUCAAACACGUGUGCCUGCAGAGCCACUCUGAAGACUUCAGGAAAGCUCUCCUCGGGGUGAUCCUGGGCUGGGCCACCGGGCCUCCUGGGGCCGCUCCACAGACUAGGAGGCUCCAGGGGUCCUGCCAUCCAGCUGAAUCCUCCUGCUUUCUCAAGGUGCCACAGGGCCGGUAGUGGGCGAAGCCCAGCCCCUCCCAGAAGGGCCACCGGACGAGACUGCCUGCACCAAAGCCUGCCGAUGGGCGUCUUACCAGACACGGUUAGAUCUGGUCCUUCUGUCUAAUACUGUCUGGUAAUGCCGUCCAUCCCCGGCCUCAUCACCGCCACAGGAGGUCCCUCACCAAUGCUGGGUGGAGGGGGGGCCAGGAGCCAUGGGUCCCAGCAGUGCUACACUUCCGCCCAGGCCCAGGCCACACCUGACGCCCCAGCCCUGGGACCCCCAGAGGGCUUUCUGUCACAGACACAAUGGACUGUUGGUGUAAUAAAGCAUGGGGGCUCCUGUUCAGCUCAGGUGCACUGGCGAUAGGCUCAUACUGCUGGCGGUGCCACUGGGCCAUGAGAGACCUGGGCUGCAGCAGCCACAUCCCUGGAGCCCCCCAGGAGCCUCUCCAGGGAGGCACCCUAAUCGCUAUGCCAGGCAGUGGUGGGGGAUGAGUACAGGAUAGAAGCAAUCCCAACUCCCUGUGCCCCUAGAGACACCCCAGGCUGCCCUCUCCCCAACCGCAGGUGGCACCAGGAUCCUGAGGGUGCUGGCCUUCCUCCCCUGGGUCCCCAUAGGCCUGACUUGGCUCUUGGGUGGUCGAAGGCCUCUCCAGGUACCAGGCCAUCACACCCCAUACCCAGGUACCGCUGGAAGGCCUGGUGGUCCUGCCCCCUCUCCUCUGCUCCACAUCCAGACAUCGUCUGUCUACAGUGUUUGCCAGUCCCACUCGCAGCCUCAUGGCUGUGCCCCCAGAGCCUCUUCCUUCCCUGAGAAUUCUAAGCAGGCCCUAGAGUCCCAGUCCAUGGCUGAUGCCUCUGACCCAGGCUCUGCGGCCAGAGUCAGGGUAGAAGGGACC
ensembl:lncRNA